GCUGCGGCAGCGGCAGAGCAGAGAUCUGCGCCGCAGGCUCUGAGCUCCCCAGGCCGGCAGGAGCCUGCCGGGGCCGGCGCUCGGCACCGUCCUGUGCGCGGAGCUCUGCCUCGGCCUCCGCUCUGCGCCCCCCGCGUGUGCCAGAGCUCUGCAGCAGGUCUGUUUUAUCCCAGCGCUGGCUGCAGGCAGGAUGACUCCAUCCAUCCUGCACACCCCGCGCUGGCACAAGGCACAGUUUACGUCACUGGAGCAGGCAUAUUCAUCACAGGAGGUAGGGUUAUUACAGUUGUUGCCUUCUGUGGCGUGGCAACCUGGUUCAGGCAUGGUGACCAAUCCCAGGCCGCUGGGACCAUCAGCUCACAGACACCGUGGUGGACGGCAAAUGGCGUUUAUUGAUGGCUGGUGCGGGAUUAUGUAGCGUGGGUUACAACGUCACCCCCGUCUGCUUACAUCAUAAGCUAGGCACUAUUGGCUAUAGGGAGAGGGUCCCUGCCUUUCCGUACAGCGCGAUAUCUUCCGGCCGCCUGACCCUAGCUGCCUGCAUUUCCCCCCUCCCUAUGCAUAAUUGAAUUGGCUGAAAUAUAACAGUCUCAAAGAAGAUACAGAUCGUAAUCUCGAAUAAAACCACACUAAAUGCACAACCAAUCCA